GCAUAUCAAUAAGCGGAGGAAAAGAAACCAACAGGGAUUGCCCUAGUAACGGCGAGUGAAGCGGCAACAGCUCAAAUUUGAAAUCUGGCGUCUUUGGCGUCCGAGUUGUAAUUUGCAGAGGGCGCUUUGGCAUUGGCAGCGGUCCAAGUUCCUUGGAACAGGACGUCACAGAGGGUGAGAAUCCCGUACGUGGUCGCUAGCCUUUACCGUGUAAAGCCCCUUCGACGAGUCGAGUUGUUUGGGAAUGCAGCUCUAAAUGGGAGGUAAAUUUCUUCUAAAGCUAAAUACUGGCCAGAGACCGAUAGCGCACAAGUAGAGUGAUCGAAAGAUGAAAAGCACUUUGGAAAGAGAGUUAAAAAGCACGUGAAAUUGUUGAAAGGGAAGCGCUUGCAGCCAGACUUGCCUGUAGUUGCUCAUCCGGGUUUUUACCCGGUGCACUCUUCUAUAGGCAGGCCAGCAUCAGUUUGGGCGGUUGGAUAAAGGUCUCUGUCACGUACCUCCUCUCGGGGAGAACUUAUAGGGGAGACGUAAUGCAACCAGCCUGGACUGAGGUCCGCGCAUCUGCUAGGAUGCUGGCGUAAUGGCUGUAAGCGGCCCGUCUUGAAACACGGACCAAGGAGUCUAACAUCUAUGCGAGUGUUUGGGUGUCAAGCCCGAGCGCGUAAUGAAAGUGAACGGAGGUGGGAACCUUUCGGGGUGCACCAUCGACCGAUCCUGAUGUCUUCGGAUGGAUUUGAGUAAGAGCAUAGCUGUUGGGACCCGAAAGAUGGUGAACUAUGCUUGAAUAGGGUGAAGCCAGAGGAAACUCAUGGUGGAGGCUCGCGAGCGGUUCUGACGUGCAAAUCGAUCGUCAAAUUUGGGCAUAGGGGCGAAAGACUAAUCGAACUAUCUAGUAGCUGGGUUCCUGCCGAG
rnacentral:rRNA from 1 species